rnacentral:rRNA from 1 species
UACGAAGGGGGCUAGCGUUGCUCGGAAUUACUGGGCGUAAAGGGUGCGUAGGCGGGUCUUUAAGUCAGAGGUGAAAUCCUGGAGCUCAACUCCAGAACUGCCUUUGAUACUGAGGAUCUUGAGUUCGGGAGAGGUGAGUGGAACUGCGAGUGUAGAGGUGAAAUUCGUAGAUAUUCGCAAGAACACCAGUGGCGAAGGCGGCUCACUGGCCCGAUACUGACGCUGAGGCACGAAAGCGUGGGGAGCGAACAGG